UUACCAAGCCGAGCUGAAUAAAGAAUGUCAGACUUAUUACGUCGAAUGCAGUUGCAAAGAGAGGCCAUCCCAGGAACAAUGGGAGUCGCGAAAUUCAACUUUAUCACAGUAAAGACAUGAAAGACAUGUGAAGUCACGAUUACCAAGCCGAGCUGAAUAAAGAAUGUCAGACUUAUUACGUCGAAUGCAGUUGCAAAGAGAGGCCAUCCCAGGAACAAUGGAAGUCGAUCUGAAGGUCUUAAAAGAUUGAGCUGUCAUCGACAUUUCAACCAUACCAGAAACAACAAAAGAUACUCUAUGGAAAGGAUGUGAACAACAGUUCUUAUUUGACUGAUAGGACGAAUACUGAGGUGGAGUGUCGAACACCGGAACAAAUGCAUCUGUCCAAGGAUUACCAAUUAAGUUGGGGGUACCGAUCAUACCAGUAGC
rnacentral:lncRNA from 1 species